rnacentral:rRNA from 1 species
AACGAACGCUGGCGGCAGGCUUAACACACGCAAGUCGAGCGCAUCCUUCGGGGUGAGCGGCAGACGGGUGAGUAACGCGUGGGAACGUACCCUUUCCUACGGAAUAGCUCCGGGAAACUGGAAUUAAUACCGUAUACGCCCUUAGGGGGAAAGAUUUAUCGGGGAAGGAUCGGCCCGCGUUGGAUUAGCUAGUUGGUGGGGUAAAGGCCUACCAAGGCGACGAUCCAUAGCUGGUCUGAGAGGAAGAUCAGCGACAUUGGGACGGAGACACGGCCCAAAAUCCUACGGGAGGCAGCAGUGGGGAAUAUUGGACAAUGGGCGCAAGCCUGAUCCAGCCAUGCCGCGUGAGUGAUGAAGGCCUUAGGGUUGUAAAGCUCUUUCAGUAGGGAAGAUAAUGACGGUACCUACAGAAGAAGCCCCGGCUAACUUCGUGCCAGCCGCCGCAGUAA